CUAGCACAAGUGGUAAAGAGCCUGAUGAUUAGUAUCUUAGAUUUCAAGUUCAAAGUCUAAUUGCUUUACGUGAAAUUGUGAAGAGAACGCAUUUUAUACUAUAAAAAUAAAAAAAAAAGUUAUUUUUUAUGAAAAAUUUUAUAUAUUUUAGAUUCUGAUGAUUCAAUUAGAAGAUAUAUUUAUGUGAAAUUAAGCUAGAAUACUUCUAGAAAUAAACGAUAAAG
rnacentral:lncRNA from 1 species